UGACUUGCGGUCAUUUAAGAUGUUUUC
rnacentral:piRNA from 1 species